rnacentral:rRNA from 1 species
UAGUCCUAGCUGUAAACGAUGGGCACUGGGUAGGGGGGUGUCAAUUCCCUCCUUGCCGAAGCUAAUGUGAUAAGUGCCCCGCCUGGGGAGUACGGUCGCAAGACUAAAACUCAAAGGAAUUGACGGGGGCCCGCACAAGCGGUGGAGCAUGUGGUUUAGUUCGAAGCAACGCGCAGAACCUUACCUACCCUUAACAUUUCACGCUCGCCUCAGAGAUGAGGUUUUCUCUUCGGAGACGUGAGGAUAGGUGCUGCAUGGCUGUCGUCAGCUCGUGUCGUAAGAUGUCUGGUUAAGUCCAAUAACGAGCGCAACCCUUAUCCUUAGUUACCAGCAUUGAGUUGGGGACUCUAGGGAGACUGCCGGUGUUAAACCGGAGGAAGGCGGGGAUGACGUCAAGUCCUCAUGGCCCUUACGGGUAGGGCUACACACGUACUACAAUGGCAGAAACAAACCGAAGCGAUAUUGCGAGAUGGAGCUAAACGGUAAAACACUGUCUCAGUCCGGAUUGAAGUCUGCAACUCGA